CAGCUAGUUGGCGGGGUAACGGCCCACCAAGGCUACGAUGUCUAGGGGAUCUGAGAGGAUGACCCCCCACACUGGUACUGAGACACGGACCAGACUCCUACGGGAGGCAGCAGUAAGGAAUAUUGGUCAAUGGGCGCAAGCCUGAACCAGCCAUGCCGCGUGCAGGAAGACGGCCCUACGGGUUGUAAACUGCUUUUAUCGGGGAAUAAACCUCUUUACGUGUAGAGAGUUGAAUGUACUCGAGGAAUAAGGAUCGGCUAACUCCGUGCCAGCAGCCGCGGUAAUACGGAGGAUCCAAGCGUUAUCCGGAUUUAUUGGGUUUAAAGGGUGCGUAGGCGGCCUAUUAAGUCAGGGGUGAAAGACGGUGGCUCAACCAUCGCAGUGCCUUUGAUACUGAUAGGCUUGAAUACACUAGAGGUAGGCGGAAUGUGACAAGUAGCGGUGAAA
rnacentral:rRNA from 1 species